GAUGAACGCUGGCGGCGUGCCUAAUACAUGCAAGUCGAGCGAACAGAUGAGGAGCUUGCUCCUCUGACGUUAGCGGCGGACGGGUGAGUAACACGUGGAUAACCUACCUAUAAGACUGGGAUAACUUCGGGAAACCGGAGCUAAUACCGGAUAAUAUAUUGAACCGCAUGGUUCAAUAGUGAAAGACGGUUUUGCUGUCACUUAUAGAUGGAUCCGCGCCGCAUUAGCUAGUUGGUAAGGUAACGGCUUACCAAGGCAACGAUGCGUAGCCGACCUGAGAGGGUGAUCGGCCACACUGCAACUGAGACACGGUCCAGACUCCUACGGGAGGCAGCAGUAGGGAAUCUUCCGCAAUGGGCGAAAGCCUGACGGAGCAACGCCGCGUGAGUGAUGAAGGUCUUCGGAUCGUAAAACUCUGUUAUUAGGGAAGAACACAUGUGUAAGUAACUAUGCACGUCUUGACGGUACCUAAUCAGAAAGCCACGGCUAACUACGUG
rnacentral:rRNA from 1 species